AGAGUUUGAUCCUGGCUCACAUUGAACGCUGGCGGCAGGCCUAACACAUGCAAGUCGAGCGGUAGCACAGAGAGCUUGCUCUCGGGUGACGAGCGGCGGACGGGUGAGUAAUGUCUGGGAAACUGCCUGAUGGAGGGGGAUAACUACUGGAAACGGUAGCUAAUACCGCAUAACGUCGCAAGACCAAAGUGGGGGACCUUCGGGCCUCAUGCCAUCAGAUGUGCCCAGAUGGGAUUAGCUAGUAGGUGGGGUAACGGCUCACCUAGGCGACGAUCCCUAGCUGGUCUGAGAGGAUGACCAGCCACACUGGAACUGAGACACGGUCCAGACUCCUACGGGAGGCAGCAGUGGGGAAUAUUGCACAAUGGGCGCAAGCCUGAUGCAGCCAUGCCGCGUGUGUGAAGAAGGCCUUCGGGUUGUAAAGCACUUUCAGCGGGGAGGAAGGCGGUGAGGUUAAUAACCUCACCGAUUGACGUUACCCGCAGAAGAAGCACCGGCUAACUCCGUGCCAGCAGCCGCGGUAAUACGGAGGGUGCAAGCGUUAAUCGGAAUUACUGGGCGUAAAGCGCACGCAGGCGGUCUGUCAAGUCGGAUGUGAAAUCCCCGGGCUCAACCUGGGAACUGCAUUCGAAACUGGCAGGCUAGAGUCUUGUAGAGGGGGGUAGAAUUCCAGGUGUAGCGGUGAAAUGCGUAGAGAUCUGGAGGAAUACCGGUGGCGAAGGCGGCCCCCUGGACAAAGACUGACGCUCAGGUGCGAAAGCGUGGGGAGCAAACAGGAUUAGAUACCCUGGUAGUCCACGCUGUAAACGAUGUCGAUUUGGAGGUUGUGCCCUUGAGGCGUGGCUUCCGGAGCUAACGCGUUAAAUCGACCGCCUGGGGAGUACGGCCGCAAGGUUAAAACUCAAAUGAAUUGACGGGGGCCCGCACAAGCGGUGGAGCAUGUGGUUUAAUUCGAUGCAACGCGAAGAACCUUACCUGGUCUUGACAUCCACAGAACUUAGCAGAGAUGCUUUGGUGCCUUCGGGAACUGUGAGACAGGUGCUGCAUGGCUGUCGUCAGCUCGUGUUGUGAAAUGUUGGGUUAAGUCCCGCAACGAGCGCAACCCUUAUCCUUUGUUGCCAGCGGUUAGGCCGGGAACUCAAAGGAGACUGCCAGUGAUAAACUGGAGGAAGGUGGGGAUGACGUCAAGUCAUCAUGGCCCUUACGACCAGGGCUACACACGUGCUACAAUGGCAUAUACAAAGAGAAGCGACCUCGCGAGAGCAAGCGGACCUCAUAAAGUAUGUCGUAGUCCGGAUUGGAGUCUGCAACUCGACUCCAUGAAGUCGGAAUCGCUAGUAAUCGUAGAUCAGAAUGCUACGGUGAAUACGUUCCCGGGCCUUGUACACACCGCCCGUCACACCAUGGGAGUGGGUUGCA
rnacentral:rRNA from 1 species